CAGGCCCUACGGGGUGCAGCAGGCGCGAAAACUUUACAAUGCUGGCAACAGCGAUAAGGGAACCUCGAGUGCCAGGUUACAAAUCUGGCUGUCGAGAUGCCUAAAAAGCAUUUCAUAGCAAGGGCCGGGCAAGACCGGUGCCAGCCGCCGCGGUAACACCGGCGGCUCGAGUGGUAACCGUUAUUAUUGGGUCUAAAGGGUCUGUAGCCGGCCGGAUAAGUCUCUUGAGAAAUCUGGCAGCUUAACUGUCAGGCUUUCAGGAGAUACUGUCUGGCUCGAGGCCGGGAGAGGUGAGAGGUACUUCAGGGGUAGGGGUGAAAUCUUGUAAUCCUUGAAGGACCACCAGUGGCGAAGGCGUCUCACCAGAACGGACCUGACGGCAAGGGACGAAAGCUAGGGGCACGAACCGGAUUAGAUACCCGGGUAGUCCUAGCCGUAAACGAUACUCGCUAGGUGUCGGCCACGGUGCGACCGUUGUCGGUGCCGUAGGGAAGC
rnacentral:rRNA from 1 species